AUGAACGCUGGCGGCGUGCCUAAUACAUGCAAGUCGAGCGAACAGAUGAGGAGCUUGCUCCUCUGACGUUAGCGGCGGACGGGUGAGUAACACGUGGAUAACCUACCUAUAAGACUGGGAUAACUUCGGGAAACCGGAGCUAAUACCGGAUAAUAUAUUGAACCGCAUGGUUCAAUAGUGAAAGACGGUUUUGCUGUCACUUAUAGAUGGAUCCGCGCCGCAUUAGCUAGUUGGUAAGGUAACGGCUUACCAAGGCAACGAUGCGUAGCCGACCUGAGAGGGUGAUCGGCCACACUGGAACUGAGACACGGUCCAGACUCCUACGGGAGGCAGCAGUAGGGAAUCUUCCGCAAUGGGCGAAAGCCUGACGGAGCAACGCCGCGUGAGUGAUGAAGGUCUUCGGAUCGUAAAACUCUGUUAUUAGGGAAGAACAAAUGUGUAAGUAACUAUGCACGUCUUGACGGUACCUAAUCAGUAAGCCACGGCUAACUACGUG
rnacentral:rRNA from 1 species